rnacentral:lncRNA from 1 species
CUUAAAUGUGUUAAACCAUCAUUCUUUCACAUUUAUCGGCUUAGUUGAAUAAUUUUAUUCAGACUAGGAAAGUCGGAUCGAAUUAUUGUUCUUAUCUCACUUGUGAUUAUACAAUCACGUUUGAACAUGCAAAUGAAAUCAAAAUAAUUACACAAAUGAUGCUAAAUAAAAGUUAAAAAAAUAUAUAUAUUUCUUCUUCCCAUAAUGUUCCAUUCAAUCUUGAUGGAUUAAAAACACCUAAAACACCCUAAGCGCCUCCUUGAACUUGACCUUCAUUUUCCAUGGGAUACAUCUAAAUUUUUAUCAUUUGAAAUAAGAAUGUCAAUACUAAAACGAAACUUAUACCACUUAACGACAAGAGCUAUAUUGCUAAUAAGAUCCUUGAACAAAAUUGGUUAAUAGAAAAAUUUGUUUACCUUUGGAGAAAGAAUGUUGCUCGCUAACAUGUUGUAUUGGUAGUAGCACAUCCUUAAACUAUAUAUGUAAUUAAGCUGAAUAAAAUAAAAUCGUUACUUUGGUACCGAAUAACAAUGGGUUUAGCCAAAUUUUGAGAGAACUAUUGAAACAAUAAAAAAAUAAGAGGCG